CUUGGGCUUGGUACACGCCUAACUCUAAUCUUGCAAGUAGUGUUGGGGUCUUUCUGCAAUUGCAACGUCGGGGAUAUGUUUCGCUAAACUCACUGCAAAUUACCGAGCUCGGAAAUCUUUUUGAGCAGCCAUGAAUCCACCGGAGAAGAUGGUCGGAGAAGACGCCACCGGUUGGGACGAGAAGGUCCGCCUGUUCUCCGCCGUGAUCGUCUGCAACUGCGAGCGGCGUCAAUCGAGAGCCAUUUACGAGUUCGCUCGACUCUCCAAGCUCGCGCCUGAUUCUGCCCUCAUAGACAUCGUUCCUAUCCUCGUCAAUCUCCUCAGCAGCUUCUAUCCGUCAAUUCAAGAAGCCGCUGCGUUUUCCCUCCGCCGGCUUGCUCGCCGCGCCGGCGCCCCUUUUAGUCCCAUAAUUGGUCAGUACGACGCAAUCUCUAUCAUCCUAGGGCUUCUUCCGGGAUCGAAUGAUCGGAUUCGGAGAUCGUUGCUUCGUCUCCUCAGCGUCCUGGUAGCCUUCGACGGCACUAAUCGCGUAACCCUAGCGAAAAACCGUGGAUUAGAUGUCAUUCUUGAACUGAUCUCUUCUUGCUCCGAUAAUACGAGAAAGCCCUUGCUGGAGAUUCUCAGCGCGAUGGUGAUGCUUAGAGAAGUAAGGAGGGUUGCCAUCAGUUCUGGUGCUUUGAGGUUUUUGAUUGAGGCGAUUUCACUUGGUAGAAUGACUUCAAGAAUACAGGCGGCGCAUGGUAUUGGGCUUCUCGGAAUUUCGAAGAGGGUUCGACACAUGCUUGUAGAUUCUGGAGCUAUUCCGGCUCUUUUGCAACUGUUUCGAGAAGGAGACCAGUCGGCAAAGAUAACCGCUGCUAAUGCGCUUGGUAUAAUCGCUUCUCAUGUAGAUUGUAUCCGGCCUGUAGCUGAAGCUGGUGCUAUUCCGAUGUAUAUGGAGCUUCUUGAGGGCACCGAGCCACUUGGUAGAGAAAUAGCGGAAGAUGUUUUCUGCGUAUUAGCUGUGGUUGAGGAAAAUGCGGUGGUGAUUGCGGAACAAUUGGUGAGGGUUCUCCGUGGCUGUGAUGAAGAGGCUAAGUCAGCUGCUGUGGAUGUGUUCUGGGAUAUUGCUGGGUACAAGCACUCCAUCCCUGUGGUUAGAGAUUCUGGUGCAAUUCCUGUUUUAAUGGAGAUUUUGCAGCAUGGGAGUGCUGAUACUAGGGUGAAGGUUAUGGGGACUAUUUCUCAGUUAGCUUAUGAAGAAGCUAAUAGAACGGCCAUGGCAGAGGCUGGUGGAAUUCCUCUUGUAAUUAAUUUGUUGACUGAUGUUUCGGGGGAGUUGAGGGAUUUGGCAGCAGAAGCUUUGAUGAGUUUUGGAGAAGAUCCAGCAUUCAGAGAGCUGAUAGUUGAGGCUUAUAAUAUCCCAACCUUCGUCGAUGCGUUUGAUAGGCUGAGUGUAGAGCAACUCAGCUCAGAUCCAGAUUUUUCUUGAAUCCGCAAUCGUUUGAUGAGAGCAAAGCUAGUUUUACCGAGCAAGCAACAAACAUAUUACUCCAAACGAUGGUCCACAAUGAGAAAGAUGCUUAUGGAGUAUAUUCUGCUUAUGCUCAUCAUAUUGGAUUCAGUAUUCGUAAGGAGUACGCUACGUUUUGGCCUAACUCCAGAAAUAUCAAGACGAAGGACUUCGUAUGUGGAAAAUCAGGUUUCAAGAAAGAGCUCAAGAUUACAGAAACUGUUAAAUAUAGAAGAGUAGAAACAAGAAUUAGUUGCCGUGCAAUGAUUCAAUACAGAGUUGAUGAGGAAGUCAAUUGGAAAGUUAAAUAUAAUUGAAUCGCAUAACCACUCAUUAGCGAACUCUGUUGACAAACACUUGUUGCGUUCCAACAGAAAGAUAAGUGAAGUAAAUGCAAAUGUGCUUAGAUCCAUGACACAGUCGGGGAUAAGACCAAAAGACGCGUUUAACUUUCUAGCUCAAGAGGUUAGGGUGUAGAGAACCUAGAAUGUACAAAGACAGAUGCUUUCAAUUUCAUUCAAAGAGAAAAGAGAUUUAGAAUUGAAAAUAGUGAUGUCAAUAUUUUAUUGCAGUUGUUUGCAGAGUGACGUGUUGAGGAUAACAUGUUUGAAUGAGAUUUUGAAACUGAUGUGAGCAGCAGCCUGAUGAGUUUUUUUUUUAGCGACGGGACAUCGAGACUUGAUUAUGACUGUUUUGGAGAUGUGAUUAUUUUUUAUACGAGCUAUAAGUUAAAUAAAUAUAACUUAUGUUGUGCUCCUAUUGUUGAUGUUAAUCACAAUUGACAGAAUGUUAUAUUUGGAGUCGGAUUCUUGUCAGAGGAGACAGCGGGAUAGUUUAAAUGAUUUUUUAAAACUUUCAUCCAUAUCAUGAGUGAUAAUCAUUCAAUAACAAUCUACACUGAUCAGGAUCAGACUAUGACCAAAGCAAUAGCAGAGAUUUUGCCAAAUACACGACAUAGAUUAUGUCAAUGACACACAUACAAGAAACUGCCUACAAAGUUUCAUUGCGGGGUGGUGAAUAAGAUAGUCAGUGAUCUUUUUUAUAAAUGCUUGAGCAAAUGCGAGUCCGAAUAGGAAUUUGAUGGUCCAUGGGAGGUGAUGAUUGAGACGUGUAAUCUGCAGGACAAUGUGUGACUAGAUGAUAAGUACAAAAUUAGACAUAAGUGAUCUACAUCUUUUAAUAAAGAUGUAUUUGGAAUGAGAAUUUUAUCUACACAGAGGAGUGAAUCAACCAAUAAGUUCACCUAUAACCACUUUAUAUAUAGGAAAGCAACAAAGUGUUUCUACAAUCAAAGCCCUCGAAUCACCACAAUGUCAUCCACCCAUAUCCUCAAUACCUGAUUUUCUAACACAGAAUUCUUUUGCUUCACAGAACAAUCAUUCCUACACCGCCAUGAUGACGGACUCCCUGAAUAAUACAACAAUGCCUCAAUGGCCAGAAUAUCUGUAAAAGAUGCUGAAAUUCAGACUUGUAAUGCAUAAAUUCAGAUUUUGGCUCCAAUUCAGAACUUCUGUUUUGCAGAAAUUCAGAUUUGUAAUCAUGCAAUUCACAUUUUUGGCUCUAAUGCAGAAAUUCAGAUUUGUAAUCCUGUAAUUCAGAUUUUGGCAUAUCUCCUGUGUUUCAUAUUUAUAAACUUUGCAAUGCAUAUAUCCUGUGUUGCAGAAAUUCAGAUUUUUGUCUUUUGUCCUGUGUUGCAGAAAUUCAGAAAUUCAUGUGUCCCAUUUGUAAACUUUGUAAUGCAUACAUCCUGUGUUGCAGAAAUUGAUGUUUGCCUU